rnacentral:lncRNA from 1 species
CAAGCCAGGAUAUGAGAUACCCCCAGAAAGCCUUUCCCACCUGAAACGUGAAGUCAACAUCUAUCAACAUCUAUCGAAGUGAGUGGAUGACCUGAAACCGUAACCGACUCUGCAACCGUAGCUGACAUUGGCCAUAACCUUGUACAGUGGCUGCGUCUCCACUUGGGCAUUUACAAGAUGGCAAACAAUGCCUGGGCAGUCUGUACCUCUCCUGCCCUGCGUUGAAUUCUG